CGCGUCGCCCCCAACCACGCCUCCYUUUUGGGGAUGGUGCUUUGWUUGGGGCGGAGAAUGGUCUCCCGUGCUCAUGGUGCGGUUGGCCUAAAAAGGAGUCCCCUUCGACGGACGCACGGCUAGUGGUGGUUUUCAAGGCCUUCGUAUCGAGCUGUGCUUACGUUAGGGAAUCGCUCUCCAAAGACCCCAACGUGUCGUC
rnacentral:misc_RNA from 1 species